GAAUGUGAAAGCGAUCUGGCUGCAGUGUGUCUCUACUGACUUCCACAAGGGACUCGGUUGAUCUGGCUGCCUAUCCUUCCUCCAUCACCUCUCCACGUCCGUGUAUCUUUCCCGAAGCUGUGUAUCCAAUCAAAGAGCAAGGCCUCCCUCUGUAAUGGAGGACUACGCUUUGAUGUGAGUAGACAUGUGGGUGUGUUCCCCUACUACAGUCUCCGCACAAGCUCUCAGAGGCAUAUCCAUUUUAUAUUGACAGGCUGAGGAGUGAUGAAAAGAAGACAUUGCAAGGCUAGGUUUUCUUUAAUCAAACUUUUAUAUGUCUAUAAGGCAGAAAACGUU
rnacentral:snRNA from 1 species